rnacentral:rRNA from 1 species
AGCAGUAGCCACGGUAAUACGUAGGGUGCAAGCGUUAAUCGGAAUUACUGGGCGCAAAGCGUGCGCAGGCGGUUCGUUAAGACAGAUGUGAAAUCCCCGGGCUUAACCUGGGAACUGCAUUUGUGACUGGCGGGCUAGAGUAUGGCAGAGGGGGGUAGAAUUCCACGUGUAGCAGUGAAAUGCGUAGAUAUGUGGAGGAAUACCGAUGGCGAAGGCAGCCCCCUGGGAUAACACUGACGCUCAUGCACGAAAGCGUGGGGAGCAAACAGGAUUAGAGACCCGUGUAGUCCCUGUCUCUUAUAU